ACGAACGCUGGCGGCAGGCUUAACACAUGCAAGUCGAGCGCCCCGCACGGGGAGCGGCAGACGGGUGAGUAACGCGUGGGAAUCUACCGAGUCCUACGGAAUAACGCAUGGAAACGUGUGCUAAUACCGUAUACGCCCUACGGGGGAAAGAUUUAUCGGGGUUUGAUGAGCCCGCGUUGGAUUAGCUAGUUGGUGGGGUAAAGGCCUACCAAGGCGACGAUCCAUAGCUGGUCUGAGAGGAUGAUCAGCCACAUUGGGACUGAGACACGGCCCAAACUCCUACGGGAGGCAGCAGUGGGGAAUAUUGGACAAUGGGCGCAAGCCUGACGCAGCCAUGCCGCGUGAGUGAUGAAGGUCUUAGGAUUGUAAAGCUCUUUCACCGGAGAAGAUAAUGACGGUACCCGGAGAAGAAGCCCCGGCUAACUUCGU
rnacentral:rRNA from 1 species